rfam:Schistosoma mattheei strain Denwood, Zambia genome assembly, scaffold: SMTD_scaffold0015991
AUCCAGCUGACAAGUUCCAAACAGGACCAAACGCGUGUCCUGGAU